CCCUUAGAUGUUCUGGGCCGUACGCGCGCUACACUGAUGCAUUCAACGAGUUUCUUCCUGGUCCGAGAGGAAUGGGUAACCUUUUGAAAAUGCAUCGUGAUAGGGAUAGACUAUUGCAAUUAUUGGUCUUCAACGAGGAAUUCCUAGUAGACGUAGUUCAUCAGACUGCAUCGAUUACGUCCCUGCCCUUUGUACACACCGCCCGUCGCUCCUACCGAUUGAAUGCUCAGGUGAGCCAUUCGGACUUUCAUCAUGCUGGUUUCCAGUUUUGAUGAAGGAAAGUCUUGCGAACCUUAUCAUUUAGAGGAAGGAGAAGUCGGAACA
rnacentral:rRNA from 1 species